UGGAUCCAGACUUUGAUUAUGGCUCAGGAUGAACGCUGGCGGCGUGCCUAACACAUGCAAGUCGAACGGGUCUUUAAGGAAACCUAGUGAAUUAAAGACGAGUGGCGGACGGGUGAGUAACGCGUGGGUAGCCUGCCCUGUACAGGGGGAUAACACUUAGAAAUAGGUGCUAAAACCGCAUAAGCGCACAGAGCCGCAUGGCACAGUGUGAAAAACUCCGGUGGUACAGGAUGGACCUGCGUCUGAUUAGCUAGUUGGAGGGGUAACGGCCCACCAAGGCGACGAUCAGUAGCCGGCCUGAGAGGGUGAACGGCCACAUUGGGACUGAGACACGGCCCAAACUCCUACGGGAGGCAGCAGUGGGGAAUAUUGCACAAUGGGGGAAACCCUGAUGCAGCGACGCCGCGUGAGUGAAGAAGUAUUUCGGUAUGUAAAGCUCUAUCAGCAGGGAAGAAGAUGACGGUACCUGACUAAGAAGCCCCGGCUAACUACGUGCCAGCAGCCGCGGUAAUACGUAGGGGGCAAGCGUUAUCCGGAUUUACUGGGUGUAAAGGGAGCGUAGACGGCCAUGCAAGUCUGGAGUGAAAUCCCGGGGCUCAACCCCGGAACUGCUUUGGAAACUGUAAGGCUGGAGUGCAGGAGAGGUAAGUGGAAUUCCUAGUGUAGCGGUGAAAUGCGUAGAUAUUAGGAGGAACACCAGUGGCGAAGGCGGCUUACUGGACUGUAACUGACGUUGAGGCUCGAAAGCGUGGGGAGCAAACAGGAUUAGAUACCCUGGUAGUCCACGCGGUAAACGAUGAUCACUAGGUGUCGGGGGUUAUGAACCUUCGGUGCCGGCGCAAACGCAAUAAGUGAUCCACCUGGGGAGUACGUUCGCAAGAAUGCAACUCAAAGGAAUUGACGGA
rnacentral:rRNA from 1 species